rnacentral:rRNA from 1 species
GAGCGGCGAACGGGUGAGUAACACGUGAGUAACCUGCCCCUGACUCUGGGAUAAGCCUGGGAAACUGGGUCUAAUACCGGAUAUGACAUCUACCCGCAUGGGUGGGAUGUGGAAAGUUUUUUCGGUUGGGGAUGGGCUCGCGGCCUAUCAGCUUGUUGGUGGGGUAGUGGCCUACCAAGGCGACGACGGGUAGCCGGCCUGAGAGGGCGACCGGCCACACUGGGACUGAGACACGGCCCAGACUCCUACGGGAGGCAGCAGUGGGGAAUAUUGCGCAAUGGGCGGAAGCCUGACGCAGCGACGCCGCGUGGGGGAUGACGGCCUUCGGGUUGUAAACCUCUUUCAGCAGGGACGAAGUUGACGUGUACCUGUAGAAGAAGCGCCGGCUAACUACGUGCCAGCAGCCGCGGUAAUACGUAGGGCGCAAGCGUUGUCCGGAAUUAUUGGGCGUAAAGAGCUCGUAGGUGGCUUGUUGCGUCUGCCGUGAAAGCCCGUGGCUUAACUGCGGGUCUGCGGUGGAUACGGGCAGGCUANGAGGCUGGUAGGGGCAAGCGGAAUUCCU